rnacentral:rRNA from 1 species
CCAGACUCCUACGGGAGGCAGCAGUAGGGAAUAUUGGUCAAUGGGCGGAAGCCUGAACCAGCCAUGCCGCGUGAUGGAUGACGGCCUUAGGGUUGUAAACAUCUUUUCUGCUAGAGGAAUAGAGUUCACGCGUGGACAGACGACUGUAUAGCAGGAAUAAGGAUCGGCUAACUCCGUGCCAGCAGCCGCGGUAAUACGGAGGAUUCGAGCGUUAUCCGGAUUUACUGGGUUUAAAGGGUGCGCAGGCGGGCUCUUAAGUCAGCGGUGAAAUGUCUGGGCUUACCCUAGGAAUUGCCGUUGAUACUGGGAGUCUUGGAUAAGCAUAAGGACGGCGGAAUGCGUAGUGUAGCGGUGAAAUGCUUAGAUAUUACGUAGAAGACCAAUUGCGAAGGCAGCUGUCUGGGUCUUUAUCGACGCUCAAGCACGAAAGCGUGGGGAGCAAACAGGAUUAGAUACCCUGGUAGUCCACGCCGUAACGAUGAUCACUCGCUCUUGGCGAUAUGCUGUCAGGGGCCAAGCGAAAGCGUUAAGUGAUCCACCUGGGGAGUACGGCCGCAAGGCUGAAACUCAAAGGAAUUGACGGGGGCCCGCACAAG